GACGAACGCUGGCGGCGUGCUUAACACAUGCAAGUCGUACGGUAAGGCCCUUUCGGGGGUACACGAGUGGCGAACGGGUGAGUAACACGUGAGUAACCUGCCCACAACUUUGGGAUAACGCUAGGAAACUGGUGCUAAUACUGGAUAUGUGCUCCUGCUGCAUGGUGGGGGUUGGAAAGCUCCGGCGGUUGUGGAUGGACUCGCGGCCUAUCAGCUUGUUGGUGGGGUAGUGGCCUACCAAGGCGGCGACGGGUAGCCGGCCUGAGAGGGUGACCGGCCAGAGGGGGACGGAGGCAGGGCCCAGAGUCCUAGGGGAGGCAGGAGGAGGGCAUCUGCCGCAAGGGCCGAAAGUCUGAGGGAGCCACGGCGCGUGAGCGAAGAAGGCCUUCGGGUCGUAAAGCUGUGUUGUGAGGGAAGAACAAGUAAAGCAGUAACUGGCGUUACCGGGACGGUACCUAACGAGAAAGCAACGGCUAACUACGU
rnacentral:rRNA from 1 species